GGCAGUGCGGCAUAGUGGUUUGAGUGUAGGAUUAUGACUCUGGAAACCAGGGUUCAAAUCCCAGUCCAGCCA